GGGGGUGCAGAGGCUGAAGGACAGGGGUCCCUGGCCUUGGUCGUUCGAGUCGUCUCGGCAGGAGGGGGAGAGCCGAGAGAUACCCUUCGGCUGAGGGCAGCGGCCGCUGCGGGUGGGGCGCUCAACCCCCGGCUCUCCCCCUCCCCAAACUGGGGGGUCUCUCUCCCCUCCAAUAAUCCGGAUUGGGGACGGCCUCUGCCUUCUGUCCUCGGAAUUCCGACGCUGCCCCCACCCCACCCCCCACUGCAUCCACUCUCCAGCCUCGGGGGGCGGGAGGAGGCCGACGCCGGGUCCUCGGGACGCCGCCGGGGGAGCCGGCUCUGGUCGCUGGGACCCGGGGCUCCGGCUCCCCAGCUCCCCGGCUCCCGCUGCUCCGCCCCCUCCUGCGCCUGCGCCUGCGCGGGCGCCGUUGGCUACGCUAAUCGCGCAGGGUCUGGCCCCACCAGCUCCGCAGCUGCGCGCCGAGUCGCGCCGCGCCCGGCGCGGAGCCGUUCGAGAAUUGGCGCGAGCUGCGCCGCCGGCGGGCGCCCGGGGUUCCUAGAGGCAGCGGGAGGCCGAGACGCUGGGGCGAAAGCGCAACCGGCGGGCGCGCGGGUGGGCCGUGCCCAGGGACGGCGGGCCUUGUUUGUUUGGGGGGCCGCCAGUUCCCAUGCUUCUCUUGCCCAUCCUCAAAUCGAGAUCGCGCCAGCCGGCCGGGGCGGGGGGGGGGGGGGGGCGGGGCCGCCUCCCCCCCCCCCCCCCCCGGAAGGGAACUCCCCCCCCCGCCCCACCGGGCCCCCGGCAGACCCCCGACCCCCCCCCCCCCCCCUCCCGGGCUUAACCCGCAGGGCCCCGCAGUCCCCCGGAGGCGCGCCCGCCCCACGCCCUGGCCGGCCGCGGUUCCCGCUCACCUGGCCGGCUGCCCUCCCGGCGCGAAGCCCCCGCGGGUCCUACGGUCACCCACAACGGGGCCCCCUCUCCUGCGCCGGGGCAGUCAUCCUGCCGGGGAGGAGGCUCCCUCGCUUAUCUCGAGCUCUCCAGAGCUGGCGCGGGGAGUGGUGCCCCCGAGGCGGGCGGUGCGAGGUUUCCACGGUGGGGGAAGAGGGAGCGGGACUUCCCGACCCGGCUACCCAGUCCGCUCGGAGCAGGGACAACGGCAACAACAAUCGCAUCCAGGUAGAGCAGUGA
rnacentral:lncRNA from 1 species